rnacentral:rRNA from 1 species
CGCGGUAAUACGGAGGGUGCGAGCGUUGUUCGGAAUUAUUGGGCGUAAAGCGCACGUAGGCGGGUCUUUAAGUCUCGUUGUGAAAGCCCUGGGCUCAACCUGGGAAUUGCAUUGGAUACUGGCGGGCUAGAGUACGGUAGAGGGUGGCGGAAUUCCUGGUGUAGCAGUGAAAUGCGUAGAUAUCAGGAGGAACAUCCGUGGCGAAGGCGGCCACCUGGACCAGUACUGACACUGAGGCACGAAAGCGUGGGGAGCAAACAGG